UAACUAGUUUGCUGUCUAUUUUUAUUUAUUACAGGUGAAAAAACUAAGUGCAUUGGGCUAUGUCCCAAUUCUAUUUUUCGCAAAGAAAGAUAAGGCCUCUGGAAAGUGGGUGUCUGAUGUGGUGACCCAUCUGCUACUCACUGAGGACAACCUAAAAAUUGUGGCCACCAUGAGAAAGGCCUACAAUUUUGUAUUGAUCAAAGAAGGUUGCCGGAAAUGUAGUAGGCAAAAAGUUUUCAAAUAUGACUCCAUAACAGGACGAAGGAUAAAUGAGGGGCAAGAGGAAGUAAGGGUGAGAUGGUUACCUUGCUCUGCAUGUGGAAAAAUCUGGGAGGAGACUUGGGAGCCGGCCUGCCAGUUCUCACCAGGUGCCAACCAUGUGUAAUAUGUCACACAUUGGUCUGUAAUUCAAUGAGUUAAAUACCUGCUAUGAGAUGUCAAGUUUGCCGUUACGGGCACAGCCAUCCUGCUUGCGGAUGUGACUACUUAAGAUGAGGAGGAGCCGCGUUACACACUUUCAAUGGUUUCCACCCUAAAAUGCU